rnacentral:rRNA from 1 species
AUUGGACGCUGGCGGCAGGCUUAACACAUGCAAGUCGAGCGGGGUGAUGGUGCUUGCACUAUCACUUAGCGGCGGACGGGUGAGUAAUGCUUAGGAAUCUGCCUAUUAGUGGGGGACAACAUCUCGAAAGGGAUGCUAAUACCGCAUACGUCCUACGGGAGAAAGCAGGGGAUCUUUAUGACCUUGCGCUAAUAGAUGAGCCUAAGUCGGAUUAGCUAGUUGGUGGGGUAAAGGCCUACCAAGGCGACGAUCUGUAGCGGGUCUGAGAGGAUGAUCCGCCACACUGGGACUGAGACACGGCCCAGACUCCUACGGGAGGCAGCAGUGGGGAAUAUUGGACAGUGGGGGGAACCCUGAUCCAGCCAUGCCGCGUGUGUGAAGAAGGCCUUAUGGUUGUAAAGCACUUUAAGCGAGGAGGAGGCUCUUUUGGUUAAUACCCAGAAUGAGUGGACGUUACUCGCAGAAUAAGCACCGGCUAACUCUGUGCCAGCAGCCGCCGCGG